UUACGCUCAUAUCACGUUGAAACACCGGCUCUCGUACGAUCACCAAAGUUAAGCAACGUCGAGCCUGGUCAUUAACUAGAUGGGAGACCGCUUGUGAACACCAGGUGCUGUAA